rnacentral:rRNA from 1 species
GACGAACGCUGGCGGCAUGCCUAACACAUGCAAGUCGAACGGUAACAGGCCCUUCGGGGUGCUGACGAGUGGCGGAUGGGUGAGUAAUACUUAGGAAUCUACCCUGUAGUGGGGGACAACCCGGGGAAACUCGGGCUAAUACCGCAUACGCUCUACGGAGGAAAGCGGGGGACCGCAAGGCCUCGCGCUAUUGGAUGAGCCUAAGCCCGAUUAGCUAGUUGGUGGGGUAAUGCCUACCAAGGCAAUGAUCGGUAGCUGGUCUGAGAGGACGA